rnacentral:rRNA from 1 species
UUUACGGGAGGCCGCAGUGGGGAAUAUCGCACAAUGGACGAAAGUUUGAUGCAGCAACCCCGCGUGAGGGACGAAGGCCUUCGGGUUGUAAACCUCUUUUUGCAGGGGAGAAGCGAAAGUGACGGUACCUGCAGAAAAAGCAUCGGCUAACUACGUGCCAGCAGCCGCGGUAAU